GUAAUAAUACAAAAAGAGAUGAAAACAUUUAUAGUAAAUACAUAUUGGUGGUGGCGCUCCGUACAACUCAAAAGGUCGUAAGGAACGAAGACUUAUAUGUAUAUACUAGAUUAAGAAAAAUACAAAAAGAGGUCUGU
rnacentral:ncRNA from 1 species